GAUGAACGCUGGCGGCGUGCCUAAUACAUGCAAGUCGAGCGAACAGACGAGGAGCUUGCUCCUCUGACGUUAGCGGCGGACGGGUGAGUAACACGUGGAUAACCUACCUAUAAGACUGGGAUAACUUCGGGAAACCGGAGCUAAUACCGGAUAAUAUAUUGAACCGCAUGGUUCAAUAGUGAAAGACGGUUUUGCUGUCACUUAUAGAUGGAUCCGCGCCGCAUUAGCUAGUUGGUAAGGUAACGGCUUACCAAGGCAACGAUGCGUAGCCGACCUGAGAGGGUGAUCGGCCACACUGGAACUGAGACACGGUCCAGACUCCUACGGGAGGCAGCAGUAGGGAAUCUUCCGCAAUGGGCGAAAGCUUGACGGAGCAACGCCGCGUGAGUGAUGAAGGUCUUCGGAUCGUAAAACUCUGUUAUUAGGGAAGAACAAAUGUGUAAGUAACUAUGCACGUCUUGACGGUACCUCAUCAGAAAGCCACGGCUAACUACGUG
rnacentral:rRNA from 1 species